ACAUGCAAGUCGAACGAGAUCUUCGGAUCUAGUGGCGCACGGGUGCGUAACGCGUGGGAAUCUGCCCUUGGGUUCGGAAUAACGUCGGGAAACUGACGCUAAUACCGGAUGAUGACGAAAGUCCAAAGAUUUAUCGCCCAGGGAUGAGCCCGCGUAGGAUUAGCUAGUUGGUGGGGUAAAGGCUCACCAAGGCUACGAUCCUUAGCUGGUCUGAGAGGAUGAUCAGCCACACUGGGACUGAGACACGGCCCAGACUCCUACGGGAGGCAGCAGUAGGGAAUAUUGGACAAUGGGGGCAACCCUGAUCCAGCAAUGCCGCGUGAGUGAUGAAGGCCUUAGGGUUGUAAAGCUCUUUUACCCGAGAUGAUAAUGACAGUAUCGGGAAAAUAAGCUCCGGCUAACUCCGUGCCAGCAGCCGCGGUAAUACGGAGGGAGCUAGCGUUGUUCGGAAUUACUGGGCGUAAAGCGCACGUAGGCGGCGAUUUAAGUCAGAGGUGAAAGCCCGGGGCUCAACCCCAGAACUGCCUUUGAGACUGGAUUGCUAGAAUCUUGGAGAGGCGGGUGGAAUUCCGAGCGUAGAGGUGAAAUUCGUAGAUAUUCGGAAGAACACCAGUGGCGAAGGCGGCCCGCUGGAC
rnacentral:rRNA from 1 species